rnacentral:lncRNA from 1 species
GAAUGUAGUGAUAAUAUGAGCAUGGUAGUUGCCUGAAUAGCCGUUUUUCGUCUGCUUAUUUGGUAGGUACUAAACAGUGCAGGAUAUUAGGUAGGAGACUUUACAGAUUCCAUCUUCACCACGAAAGAAUGCCAAUUUAUAUAUUUAGGAAAAAAGAAUAUUUUAUGGCUCAUGUUCAUUUUUAUAUUUGUAUAACUUAGAAAAAUCUUUGGGGACUUAGGGAAGUAUUAGUGUCUUACUAGAGUCAAUAACAUCAGGUCUCAUUAAAAUAUUAAGCACAAUAAUUAAGUUGAAGAGUUUUAUAUAGGCUUUAUGUGUACCCCCACCCCCAGGUCAGUUAACUGAAUAAUUUUAACAUGCAUACUCCAGUACUCUGUAACAUAUAAUGAUAAAAAUUUCAAAUAUCUGGCAUGAAAAAUGCUUAAAGGAGGUCAAAGUAGACUCUCCAUUACAAAAGAUGAAUGGAAACUCUGAAGAAUAACUUAGGUUUGAUCCUCAAGAAGGCUAAAAAUAAUAUUAUAACAGGUGCUUCAUCAGGAAUAUACCUACUAGCAAAGUUUUAAAAGCUUGUAAUUCACCUAGAACAUGUGUACAAGUUUCACGAAGAAUAAAAUAUAGUUUCAUUUUACUUGUGUUUCAUUUUCACCUCAUGCUGUUGCAGACGUUCUAAAGUGAUUUCACUGUGCAACAGAACCGCAUUUUAUCCUUGCAGCUUCCUACCCAUUGUACUUUCCUAACAAUCAAGCACAGUCUCAACUUUAAUAUUUCUUCACCCUGUCAAAUGUAAGAUUCCUAAGAUAGGAAGAUGACAGAUAUUUAAAUAUCACUUUUGCAAAUUGAUUUUAAAAUCCUUUGUGAGUAUUUUAAAAAUUAGUAACAUAUAAAGAAUUGUUUUUCACCUUUUCCAUUUUAAAAUUUGCUAGUGCUGUUUGCUGUUCUGCUUGAAGUUUAUUCAUCUUUACUGAUAACUUUCCUUCUUUAUUUUUGACAUUUUUUAAAUCAACGAGAUUAUUAUUUUUAGUUAUAUUUAUAACAAUAUUUGUUACGUUUAUGUGAUUUUUAAAUGUUUCUUACAGUGUUGUUGUGUUUUUUUUUUCUCUCAUUAUCUUUGGUAGUCCAUGCUUCUUUUUGCCUUUUUGGAAGUAACACUAAAACUCAUCAUUAGUUUUAUAUGUGUUUUUGGUUUUCAUAUAUAAUUAGUGACUGAAGACGUAAGACUGUUAACUACAGGACUUCUCUAGACAAAUUCUGAGGACAGUGUAUAUUAUAAAUUUUGGAAUAUUUCUAUUUGUGGAAAAUAAUUGUUUCUAUACUGAAUGUCUUGCCUCUGUAUAUACUAACUGUCCAAAUAAGAUUUAAUACAUAAGAUCUUGCUGC